rnacentral:rRNA from 1 species
CCUACGGGUGGCAGCAGUGGGGAAUAUUGCACAAUGGGGGAAACCCUGAUGCAGCGACGCCGCGUGAGUGAAGAAGUAUCUCGGUACGUAAAGCUCUAUCAGAAGGGAAGAAAAUGACGGUACCUGACUAAGAAGCCCCGGCUAACUACGGGCCAGCAGCCGAGGUAAUACGUAGGGGGCAAGCGUUAUCCGGAUUUAAUGGGUGUAAAGGGAGCGUAGACGGCAGCACAAGUCUGGAGUGAAAUCCCGGGGCUUAACCCCGGAACUGCUUUGGAAACUGUGCGGCUGGAGUGCAGGAGGGGUAAGCGGAAUUCCUGGUGUAGCGGUGAAAUGCGUAGAUAUUAGGAGGAACACCGGUGGCGAAGGCGGCUUACUGGACUGUAACUGACGUUGAGGCUCGACAGCGUGGGGAGCAAACAGGAUUAGAUACCCGGGUAGUC